UAGUCAUAUGCUUGUCUCAAAGAUUAAGCCAUGCAUGUCUAAGUAUAAGCAAUUAUACCGCGAAACUGCGAAUGGCUCAUUAUAUAAGUUAUCGUUUAUUUGAUAGCACAUUUACCUACUUGGAUAACCGUGGUAAUUCUAGAGCUAAUACAUGCUAAAAAUCCCGACUUCGGAAGGGAUGUAUUUAUUAGAUUAAAAGCCAACGCCCUUCGGGGCUUCUUGGUGAUUCAUGAUAACUGGUCGA
rnacentral:rRNA from 1 species